rnacentral:rRNA from 1 species
CCCUUAGAUGUUCUGGGCUGCACGCGUGCUACACUGAUAUUGCCAAUAUGUCAUUCUUAUCCGAAAUGGAUUGGGUAAUCAAGUAAUGAAAUUUCAUGCUUGGAAUCGGUAAUUGCAAUUUUAUCGUGAACGAGGAAUUCCUAGUAAGCACUAGUCAUCAGCUAAUGUUGAUUAUGUCCCUGCCCUUUGUACACACCGCCCGUCGCUACUACUGAUUGGGUGUUCAAGUGAGAUGCUUAGACCCUUGUUGCAUGGUUCAUUAUUGUGCUCCGAAAGGAAAAAGGUUCAAGCUUGAGUGUCUAGAGGAAGUAAAAGUCGUAACA